GUCACAAAAAAGAUUUAAUAUAUUCUUCACAAUAUCUGCAUUCAAAAGACUGGAAAAAAAAAUAGAUUCUAUGCUGAAUUUUCUCCCACCGAUGACUCGACAUCUAUACAAAGCAUUUUCUUAUAUCUGUUAACCUCCUCUUGCAAUGCAUCGUAAUCAUUUUUCAAAUCUCUAUAUGUAUCGACGGUCAAAUCAUAAAUUCGUUUCAUGGUUCUAUGUCUGAUAUCGAGAUCAUCAUAAGCUGCAUUGAUUCCUCGAUACUGAUAUUUGUAGUAUUCUUUAUCUCCGUAAUUAUAAUCAUCGACUUCAAAUCC
rnacentral:lncRNA from 1 species